AUGGCACCGGCUGCCGUGGGCGCGAGCUGGACCGGGACCAGCCCCAUCACCAUGCCCACCGCAACGACGGAGGCACGAGGGGGACCCACAUGGGGUCCUUGGUUGGAGACGGGGCCGGGGAAGCCAAAGCAGGCUGCAGGGCGGGGUCCCCAUCACUUCGGCCUAGGGGUGCCAGUGCCUGCAUGCCCCCCUACAGCACCGCGCCCCCCGAGCGGCCGCCCCGCGCGGUCCCACCCCGGGGCAGCCGUGGCUCAGCCGCGCUCCCAGCCAGGCGCUGCCGCGGUGGGCUCGCUGCCCGGCUGCUGCGGGGCUGCGGCUGGGAACCGGCACCGGCACCGGGGCCGCCCUGCACCGGGCUCUGCAGCCCCCGCGGCCCAGGGCAACGCUCGGCUCCUGGGGCCCAGACAGGAAGGAGACGUCACCGCCGCGGAGCGUAACUCAAACCAGAUGGGGCCGCGCUGUUUUCCAGGACCGCAGGGUGGUCACCGGCAGGAACUGGUCAAAGGCUGCCGGCAGGAAGCGGGCUGGGAGGGACGCCCUGGGCCGAGCGGUGACCCUGCCUGCGCAGCCUUAACCGCUUCGGGGCCAGCCGCGGCCGGAGGGGCACGGGACCCCGGGGGUGGACCCCACGUGCGUGGGGCUGGGGGCUCCGUGUGCAGGCUCAGCCGCUGCGGGGGCAGCGGGACCCCCCCCCAGCCUUUGCCUGGGCACAGAGCCUUGGGCAGUGCUGAAGCCGUGAGGACACCUCUGUCCUGUCCGUCCACCCAUCCGCUCCUCCAUCCAUCCGCCCACCCGAUCCCCCUUUCCUCCAGCUUCCCGUCCCCGUGUUUAGCUGCAGACCUCAGCUCCUGCCUGCCGGCCGUGCACCCUCAGGGGUUUAAUGCUCCCCCCCCAGCCGGUGCCCAGGACGCGGGGCUGCUCUCAGACCUGUACAUUUAUUUACAAGAAGCCGAGCGCGCAGGCAGCUCUCCCGCAUCGGGCAGGGCCCUGCAAGCCAUGCUGCUAGCCCGGGCAGGGGCCGGGGUGCCGAGCCCAAAGCCACAUCCACCUGCUGCCACCAGCGGGGCUGGGGGGCCGCCGCCUGCCCCCGUCUCUGCCCCGGGCCAAGCAGCAAGGGCUCCGCAGCAGCCACGGAGGGCACCGGCAGCCCCGGAGCGCGCACAGCCCUCACUCCAUGGCAAAAAAAAAAGCUGGGGGGGGAUCCCGGUGCCAGCCAGCACUGGGCAAGGCUGGAGGCCGCAAAGCUGGGGGCCGCUGUCCCCUGGCCGCGCUGCGAGGAGGGGGCUCACGGGAAUGGAAGAGCCACAGGGAGAGGGGGCGAGGGCUGGGCGAGGAGCGGGCGCAGCACCCGCUGCCCCGGCACGGCGGCCCCGGCACGGCCCCGCUGGCGGCGGGGGGACGCUGGCGGCCGGCAGUUCCUGUGUGUUGGUGGUCAGGGCUGAAGCAAUCCUUCCAGGAGCUGGGGCGGGGGGGGAGCGCGGCCCAGCUGGUCUGCAUUAG
rnacentral:lncRNA from 1 species